UUAAUUGAAACCAAAAUAGAGGUAAAUUAUUGUUAAUAAUCAAAUUGAAUUAAAUAAUUCCAAUUGAA
rnacentral:tRNA from 1 species